AAUUGAAUAAUAAUAAUUAACAUUUACAUGCAACUAUUACAAGAUAUGCAAUAGUUUUUUUCUGCAUUUUUUUUCCGUAUUUCAUUCUUUAUUCAGGGCGUACCCUAAUUGCAAGAAGAGAGGAG
rnacentral:ribozyme from 1 species